rnacentral:tRNA from 114 species
GCGGGUAUAGUUUAGUGGUAAAACCCUAGCCUUCCAAG